CUCAGACAGAGGAAAGGCUCCGUGUGCGGAACGGCAUCCGAGACGCAGAGUGAAGAGAUGGUGCACCCCAGGAGGUGUGCAGGGACAGCGUUCCAGGAGCAGGACAGUAGGUGCAGAGACGAUGUGCGGGCUCUGUGCAGAGCCCUCAGAGCGGUUCAACCCCUGGAAGCAGAAGAUGCCAAGAGUGGAAUGAUGCAAACUAAGGAAGGCUGCAACCCCCAGAGUGACCUGUGUACAUACCUGUCUUCACAGCUGGAAAGAACUUAAUGCAUCUAUGUAAACUGAUUAAGAAUUACAAAUCACAAUGAUGAAACCAU
rnacentral:lncRNA from 10 species